GGAAGAAUCUUCACAAUAAUGGCUACUAGGCUGACUUCUCAUCACCCUACUUUGCUUUCUGCAUAAAGUAGGGAAGUACAACAAUUCUGUCAGUCAUCUGGACAAGCCCAACUGUCCUCUAGAGAAGUCUAUUGUAGACUGUGCAUCAGAAAAGCUUAUAAAGCAGAGGUCUCAGAUGGUAAUUUAAGUAGCAGUACCUCAGUGAUUCAGAUGUGUCAACACAUCUGCUGAAACAACUAUGUGACCCAUAUAUUUUGGUGAAAUAAAAAACAAUUUUCUACACUUUGUAGAGAACAUUUCUGCAGAGAAGAGGAUCGAAAAUUUGAUGUGAAGUCAGAAAAAAAUGAUAAUGUGAA